rnacentral:lncRNA from 1 species
AGAAGUCCUAUUGCUACAAGGUUUUGUUCCAGCGGCAAAGACAAGGUUGUUCGAGUUGAAGAUGCGGCAAAGUUAUGAUCUAGUUGAAGAAAGAGUUGAAGAUGGGUCGAACGCGAAUUUCACACAAUGUAGGAAUCUUACGUGUGAGCUUCUAAGUUUCAAGAGAAAAAGGAAGCAUAACAGAAGUAGGAUUUCUAGUUGAAAUAGGUUUUAAAUUCAAGUCCAAAUCUAUAAAUAGGACGAUAGUUUCGCUUGAGAAAAAAUGUGCACUUACAUAGAGAGACGAGCAAAAUACGAUCAAGUGUUUUAAGAGUUACUUGGGAGUGUUACCAAUUUGUGAGGAAAAAGUUUUAAAAUUGUAAUUAAGAGUUUUGAUUGCAAUAGAGUGUGUGUAGAGGAUUCGUCUAACAAAUUUGAGAAACUUGACGGACGAUGGAAGACUUAAACCUAGAGGUUUUUGUCUUGGGUAGGUAGGAAUUAGAGUUUAUAAUUUCUUAGGUUGGAAUUAGAGUUUACAAUUCCUUAGGUUACAUAGGCUUGUAAUCUUAUGUAGAAGUUUGGAGUUUAAUAAAGUGGAAUUAAAUCCUACAGAGGUAUAUGUCGUGGUUUUUACCCUUUACUAGUUUUCAGAAACGUGCGUUGCACGUUUAUUCCAAAUAAUAAUGCAUGCAUAUUAUAUUUUUCAUGCAACCAAUAAAUUUUUAAAGUUCAGAAAUUGAUAUUGUAGAACAUAAAAAAAAUGUUAUAAAGAAAUAAGAGAUUCUUACCAAAUCAAUAUAGUUAAUUAUUGAAUUAUCACAUAUAACUCUAGUUAUACACUAUAUGUUGUCCUAUAUUUAUGAUUUAUAUCCACCAAAAUUGAGAGAUAUGGUACGUGUGCCUAUUCCACCUUGGAGAUAUGGUGCGUUGACUCAAGUAAAGGAUGACUAUCCUAUGUAACUAUUUACAACGAUUGUGGGGUGUUUUUAUGUUAGAUAUGUACGGAGGAAUGGACAUGAGUGUGAAUUGUAGUGUGUGCGUAAAUCUUUGACACAAGAAGUCUCGGCAAACAUUGAAGAAACAUCCCUUUGUUGACAGUCGUACUUUGUUGCGCAACGUAUUACCAGGUAUAAACAGUGGUAAUGACAUUGUUGUGAUCUACACAAUUGAAAGGAUAUAUCUUUAUUACUUGAAUGGACAGAAGGUGGAGAUCUGCUAUAAGACUCUAGGACAAUUAAAUCCUAAGAGAAGAUACAUACCAGACACAAACAACCUCGACACGGUGCAUGAGCUGAAGUAGUACUUAUUCUGUUGCAAUCAAGUAGAAUUCUCAUGUUUAAUUUCAUCUUCUUUUGUUUUUAUAUGACUUGAAUUUCAGAUUAAGUUGUUUUUGUAAUAGACAUGGAUUGCCAAGGUAGUUUGAACGAUUUUUCCUUUACCCAUUUCUAAUUAUUUCUUGCUUGAUUGCGUGUUUUUACUUGUGAGUUCCUUUUUACUGCUACAUGAUCUGAAGAAGUAGCUAUUGUGUUGCAGAUCAUACCACACAUUCUAUCGUAAAAUUUAAACAGUAGUAGUAGAAAGGAACUCACAAGUAAAAACACCCAAUCAAGCAAGAAAUAAUUAAAAAUGAGUGAAGGAAAAAAUGUUCACACUACAUUGGUAAUCUAAAACAUGUCUAUUACAAAACAGCUUAAUCUGAAUUCCAAGUCAUAUAAUAACGAAAAAAGAUGAAAUUAAACAUGAGAAUUCUACUUGACAUUAACAGAACAACUACUACUUCACCUCAUGUGACGUAGCGAGGCUGUUUGUGUACGGUAUGAAUCUUCUCUUAGGAUUUAAUUGUCCUAGAGUCAUAAUAGUAGAUCUCCACCUUUUGUCCAUUCAGGUAAUAAAGAUGUAUUCUUUCAGGUGUGUAGAUCACCACAAUGUCAUCACCACUGUUUAUACACGGCAAUGCGUCGCACAAAAUAGUACAAUUGUCAACAAAGGGUUUCUCCAAUGUUUGCCGAGACUUCUUGUGUUCAAGAUAUAUGUACACACUAUGAUUCAGACUCAUGUCCAUUGCUCCGUACAUAUCUAACAUAAAAACAUCCCUGCAAUCGUUGUAAACAGUUACAUAGGAUAACUAAUCCUUUACCUGAGUCAACGCACCUUGUCUCCCAGGUGGAAUAGGAACAUGUACAACUACUGCAACCUCAUUUUUUGCAUCAAAUGCUAGCACACCAUGUUUUACUAAUACCAAGAAAAACACAUUUAUCACCUCUAUUAUCAAGCUUCUUUCUUUUUGCUUUUGAAAUAUGUGCAUAAGCAAUGUAUCCUAAAUUUUUGAAGUGGUCUACUGUUGAUUUCCUUCUGCUCCAAACUUCCAUGGGUAUUACAUCUCGAAGACAAAAAGUGGAACUUCUGUUCAAGAUAAGAAUGCUCCUGUUAGGUACAUAUGAAUAUGUAUAUUUUAUAGACUGACAAUCCGGUGAAUUAUGGAGCAAGCUGAGCAAAUGUGAAUUGAGUCGCCAAAGUUUACUGGAAGAGGAAUUAGGAGGCUGACUUAAAGUAGGAAAACUGCAACCUAAUGACAACAAAAGAAGCAUAAGAUUAUAGUUAUUAUAAUUCAUUCAGAGAAAGAAAAACUAUUUCCUACUUGGUUAAGGAUAUAGUUUGAGGCAGUCAAGACAAAGAAGGAAAGUUAUUUUCUACUUGUUUAAGUAAAUAGUUUGAGGUGGCAUAGUUUAUAAGGAAAAUCAUAUAUGAAGUUUCCUUUCAAUGCAUAGUAUAAAGAGAAGUCCUAAUGCUACAAGGUUUUGUUCCAGUGGCAAAGACAAGGUUGUUCGAGUUGAAGAUGCGGCAAAGUUAUGUUCUAGUUGAAGAAAGAGUUUAAGAUGGGUCGAACGCGAAUUUCACACAAUAUAGGAAUCUUACGUGUGAGCUUCUAAGUUUCAAGAGAAAAAGGAAGCAUAACAGAAGUAGGAUUUCUAGUUGAAAUAGAUUUUAAAUUCAAGUCCAAAUCUAUAAAUAGGGUGAUAGUUUCGCUUGAGAAAAAAUGUGCACUUACAUAGAGAGACGAUCAAAACACGAUCAAGAGUUUUGAGAGUUACUUGGGAGUGUUACCAAUUUGUGAGGAAAAAUUUUUAAAAUUGUAAUUAAGAGUUUUGAUUGCAAUAGUGUGUGUGUGUGUGUAGGAUUCGUCUAACAAAUUUGAGAAACUUGACGGACGAUGGAAGACUUAAACCUAGAGGUUUUUGUCUUGGGUAGGUAGGAAUUAGAGUUUAUAAUUUCUUAGGUUGGAAUUAGAGUUUACAAUUCCUUAGGUUACAUAGGCUUGUAAUCUUAUGUAGAAGUUUGGAGUUUAAUAAAGUGGAAUUAAAUCCUACAGAUGUAUAUGUCGUGGUUUUUACCCUUUACUAGUUUUCAGAAACGUGCGUUGCACGUUUAUUCCAAAUAAUAAUGCAUGCAUAUUAUAUUUUUCAUGCAACCAAUAAAUUUUUAAAGUUCAGAAAUUGAUAUUGUAGAACAUAAAAAAAUGUUAUAAAGAAAUAAGAGAUUCUUACUAAAUCAAUAUAGUUAAUUAUUGAAUUAUCACAUAUAAUUCUAGUCAUACACUAUAUCUUGUCCUAUAUUUAUGAUUUAUAUCCACCAAAAUUGAGAGAUAUGGUACGCGUGCCUAUUCCACCUUGGAGAUAUGGUGCGUUGACUCAAGUAAAGGAUGACUAUCCUAUGUAACUAUUUACAACGAUUGUGGGGUGUUUUUAUGUUAGAUAUGUACGGAGGAAUGGACAUGAGUGUGAAUUGUAGUGUGUGCGUAAAUCUUUGACACAAGAAGUCUCGGCAAACAUUGGAGAAACAUCCCUUUGUUGACAGUCGUACUGUGUUGCGCAACGUAUUACCGUGUAUAAACAGUGGUAAUGACAUUGUUGUGAUCUACACAAUUGAAAGGAUAUAUCUUUAUUACUUGAAUGGACAGAAUGUGGAGAUCUGCUAUUAAGACUCUAGGACAAUUAAAUCCUAAGAGAAGAUACAUACCGUACACAAACAACCUCGAUACGGUACAUGAGCUGAAGUAGUACUUAUUCUGUUGCAAUCAAUUAGAAUUCUCAUGUUUAAUUUCAUCUUCUUUUGUUUAUAUAUGACUUGAAUUUCUGAUUAAGUUGUUUUUGUAAUAGACAUGGAUUGCCAAGGUAGUUUGAACGAUUUUUCCUUUACCCAUUUCUAAUUAUUUCUUGCUUGAUUGCGUGUUUUUACUUGUGAGUUCCUUUUUACUGCUACAUGAUCUGAAGAAGUAGCUAUUGUGUUGCAGAUCAUACCACACAUUCUAUCGUCAAAUUUAAACAGUAGUAGUAGAAAGGAACUCACAAGUAAAAACACCCAAUCAAGCAAGAAAUAAUUAAAAAUGAGUGAAGGAAAAAAUGUUCACACUACAUUGGCAAUCAAAAACAUGUCUAUUACAAAGCAGCUUAAUCUUAAAUCCAAGUCAUGUAAUAACA